AGUGAACGCUGGCGGCGUGCCUAACACAUGCAAGUCGAACGGUAACAGGAAACAGCUUGCUGUUUCGCUGACGAGUGGCGGACGGGUGAGUAAUGUCUGGGAAACUGCCUGAUGGAGGGGGAUAACUACUGGAAACGGUAGCUAAUACCGCAUAACGUCGCAAGACCAAAGAGGGGGACCUUCGGGCCUCUUGCCAUCGGAUGUGCCCAGAUGGGAUUAGCUAGUAGGUGGGGUAACGGCUCACCUAGGCGACGAUCCCUAGCUGGUCUGAGAGGAUGACCAGCCACACUGGAACUGAGACACGGUCCAGACUCCUACGGGAGGCAGCAGUGGGGAAUAUUGCACAAUGGGCGCAAGCCUGAUGCAGCCAUGCCGCGUGUAUGAAGAAGGCCUUCGGGUUGUAAAGUACUUUCAGCGGGGAGGAAGGGAGUAAAGUUAAUACCUUUGCUCAUUGACGUUACCCGCAGAAGAAGCACCGGCUAACUCCGUGCCAGCAGCCGCAGUAA
rnacentral:rRNA from 1 species